AUUGAACGCUGGCGGCAGGCCUAACACAUGCAAGUCGAACGAGUGGCGGACGGGUGAGUAAUGUCUGGGAAACUGCCUGAUGGAGGGGGAUAACUACUGGAAACGGUAGCUAAUACCGCAUACCAUCAGAUGUGCCCAGAUGGGAUUAGCUAGUAGGUGGGGUAACGGCUCACCUAGGCGACGAUCCCUAGCUGGUCUGAGAGGAUGACCACCAACACUGGGACUGUGACACGGUCCAGACGCCUACGGGAGGCAGCAGUGGGGAAUAUUGCACAAUGGGCGCAAGCCUGAUGCAGCCAUGCCGCGUGUGUGAAGAAGGCCUUCGGGUUGUAAAGCACUUUCAGCGGGGAGGCGUUACCCGCAGAAGAAGCACCGGCUAACUCCGUGCCAGCCGCCGCGGUAAUUC
rnacentral:rRNA from 1 species